UACGUAGGUGGCAAGCGUUGUCCGGAAUUAUUGGGCGUAAAGCGCUUGUAGGCGGCUUGUUAAGUCGCGUGUGAAAUCCCCAGGCUUAACCUGGGAAGUGCGCGCGAAACUGGCGAGCUUGAAUGCCGGAGAGGGUCGCGGAAUUCCCGGUGUAGAGGUGAAAUUCGUAGAUAUCGGGAGGAACACCAGUGGCGAAGGCGGCGACCUGGACGGACAUUGACGCUGAGACGCGAAAGCGUGGGGAGCAAACAGG
rnacentral:rRNA from 1 species